rnacentral:rRNA from 1 species
AUGCCCAGCCCGCUCAAGCGCCCCUCCCUCGGCCGCCUGCUCGCCGCCCUCCGCUCGCCGUCCCGCGUCCCGGUCCAGACCGGCUUCCCCACCUCCCUCGCCGACCUCGUCGUCAAGAACCAUGGCCGCCUCAGGAAGCCCCGCAAGCCGCGCCGCCCCACCAUCGCCCUGGCGCUGCCUCCGUCUCCGGCGGAGAACGCGGCGGAGGUAGGGGAGAUUCCUUCUCUGCCGACACCGCCCGGGCCUCUAUCGCCGGUGGUCGCGGAGGACUCCUCGGCACCCGUGGGGCGGCGGCUGGACGCGCCCAAAGGCGCCGCCUUUUUCCGGCCCCGCCCGGAGCUCCUCGCGCUCGGCGGGGCCGUGGCGCUCGCGCUCCUCGCCGUGUGGAGCGAGGGGACCGUCGCGGCGUUCACCAUCGCCUCGCUGUCGCUGCUCUGGAUCGAGUCGGCCUCCCGCUGGCGCCGGCGCUCCUCGCGCCCCCGUCUCGCCGAUUCGGGAGGUGGAAGAAGCGCCCUGCUGCUCCGAUUCCGACAGGAGCAGCGAGGCCCCCUCCCCUCGGACCUCCGGCGGCGAAGAUCCGGCCACACCGAAGAGGAAAGCGAGGAGAUCGCUGAGGAAGAUAAUCUCCAAGACGCUGCAGAAGAAGCCCAAGGCGAAGGACGCCUCGGGCUCUAG